rnacentral:misc_RNA from 1 species
AACGCACAUUGCGCCUCCUUUUACCGGGAGGCAUGCCUGUCUGAGCGUCAUUUAAACCAAUAAAGCCCUUCUGGGUUUUGUGUUGGGCCCCGCACGUUUGUGCGCCGCCUCAAAGUCAUCGGCCUGGACUGUGGACGAGCUCCUCUUGGACUUACCAUGGUGAAGGGCGACCUCUGGCUUUAUGCCUCUUGAACUCUUGACCUCAGAUCAGGUAGGAAGACCGCCUGAACUUAA